UUAAGUCAGAUGUAGAAACGGCCCGGGGACCUUUAACCGUACGGUAAGUUGCUAUUUAGUAAACGUGGCGAGGCUAGAGUCUUGUAGGAGGGGGGUAGGAAUUUCAGGUGUAGCGGUGAAAUGCGUAGAGAUCUGAAGGAAUACCAGUGGCGAAGGCGGCCCCCUGGACAAAGACUGACGCUCAGAUGCGAAAGCGUGGGGAGCAAACAGGAUUAGAUACCCUGGUAG
rnacentral:rRNA from 1 species